rnacentral:rRNA from 1 species
GACGUAAGUGGCAAGCGUUAUCCGGAAUCACUGGGCGUAAAGGGCGUCUAGGCGGCGAUGCAAGUCAGGGGUGAAAGUACAGAGCUCAACUCUGUCCUUGCCUUUGAAACUGCAUUGCUAGAAUACGGGAUAGGAGGGCGGAACUACAAGUGUAGAGGUGAAAUUCGUAGAUAUUUGUAGGAAUGCCGAUGUCGAAGGAAGCUCUCUGGACCGAUAUUGACGCUGAAGCGCGAAAGCUAGGGUAGCAAACAGGAUUAGACUACCCCCGUACGU